rnacentral:rRNA from 1 species
CGCAUCUGUGCAUGCAGCAUAUCAAUAAGCGGAGGAAAAGAAACUAACAAGGAUUCCCCUAGUAACGGCGAGUGAAGCGGGAAGAGCUCAAAUUUGAAAUCUUAAAGGGUUUCCCUUUACGAAUUGUAGUUUAAAGAAGUGUUUUCUGUUGAGGUUUUGAUAAAAGUUCUUUGGAAUAGGACAUCAUAGAGGGUGAGAAUCCCGUAUUUGACCUUUACUUUCAACUUUGUGAUACACUUUCAAAGAGUCGGAUUGUUUGGGAAUGCAGUCCAAAAUGGGUGGUAAAUUUCAUCUAAAGCUAAAUAUUGGCGAGAGACCGAUAGCGAACAAGUACCGUGAGGGAAAGAUGAAAAGAACUUUGAAAAGAGAGUUAAACAGUACGUGAAAUUGUCAAAAGGGAAGCGUUUGACACCAGUGCUGUUUUUCUGAAAAUCAAUUAAAGAACUGUUUAUGCUAAGUUGUUUAGACUUUAUCAGCUAACUGUUUAGUUUUGAGCUUUUCUUUAAUGCACUUUUCAGUUAACAAGUCAACAUCAAUUUCUUUUGCUGUAAAAAAGCUUGAGGAAGGUGGCUUGAGAUUCGUCUUAAGUGUUUAUAGCCUCUUGCCUAUGCAGUCGGAGAGAUUGAGGUCUGCAGCGUAGAUCCUUCGGGGCUAAAUGCAUUUGUGCUAAGUUAUAACAUUUUAUAGACAACUUGUUGACUAUGAUUUGUCUUGUAGCUUACUCGCUUAUGUUAUUUUACCUACGCUUAGGAUGUUGACAGCAGUAUAGACUGU